rnacentral:lncRNA from 1 species
CACCUCCUCUCACCGGAAAGAAAGCAAAAGGGAAAACACCUAUUAGAUUGUUGGAUGUGUUCAAAUGGAUCUCUAAGAAUGUUGAGUACAGUGUUAAGGAUGUCAGUCUGAAAGAGGCGCCCUCUUGAUUUAAGGAUCAUGCAAAGUCGAGCUAACCGACUUUAAACAAAGCGCUGCGUGGGAGGCAACCCACGAGUUUUUAUUUUAAUGUUUUCAUUUGAAUUUGCAGAAAAUAAAGAGAUCGAUCGCUUAACACCCAUCAGUGCAUUAUAGGCGUAAAUCUCCAGGUUUUGCACUCCAAUUCUACUCUAGAGUCGCAACAGUGAGGACACCGUUGAAUUUAAGUUUAGGGGAGCAUUUCACUGCUUUUUCUUAGUCAUUUAAAUUAGUUUAUUUUCCCUUUUGCAUAAUAAAUAAAAAAAAAUUAAAUUUAUAGUGUUUUCUUUGGUUUUUCUAAAUUUUUCCUUUUCUUGAGCCAAUUUAAAAAUUUUUCUAAAGAUUUAGGACAAUUAUUCACUUUGAAAGUAUAUAGGUUAAGAAAGGACGAGAGGCUAAGUUAAGAAAAUUAGGGAAUUUUACAACAAAAUCGGUAUUUUUCCAACACCCAGAAGUCUCCCUAGUAUAGAUAUCAAUUUGAAUAACCAUUGUGCCGAAAUCUACUGAUUUAAAUUUGUUGAUUCCUUUAGUAGUUUAUUUACCAGUCGGACACCAUCUAUAAGUCACACAUUAAGUAGGUCA